GAAACCCUGUGGGAAGCAGGAGGGACCACCCUCCAAGGCUAAAUACUACCUAGUGACCGAUAGCGUAUAGUACCGUGAGGGAAAGGGGAAAAGAACCCCGGGAGGGGAGUGAAAUAGAACCUGAAACCCUGCACUUACAAGCUGUGGAAGCACAUUUCUUGUGUGACCGCGUACUUUUUGUAGAACGGGCCAACGAGUUACGUUAAGUAGCAAG
rnacentral:rRNA from 1 species